GCGGAGGUAGUCAAGCGGUAAGACGCAGGACUGCUAAUCCUGUGCCCCAUGGGCUCGCGGGUUCAAAUCCCGCCCUUCGCGCCA
rnacentral:tRNA from 1 species